UGAAAGUUUUCUCUGCGGAAAGCCCAUUUGUCCCGCUCCAUGCGUGCUUGGCCACAGAAUCCUUUCUGGGUUCUCGGUGUUUCCUCAAACGCCCCUCUGCUGAGUCUCAGGCUGCGGCGCUUUUCUGAUCUGUUGAAUCCCCACUCCGCGCAGAUCAGGAAGAAAAGAAAGGAAUGUAAAUCGGCACAAAAUACCGCCACAGACAAAAGCCAAAAAAUGAGAAUCUUCAAAUAGAAAAUUAACUCACCAGACAUGAUGGCUGAGAUGAUUAGAGGAUCCCUGGAGAAGACCUUUGGAUCUCCACAACGUUCUGUUCUGCCUCAGGAAAAUGGCCAAGAACGAAAUUUCUAUAAAAGUUUCCAAAAACAACAAGUCUGGUGUGUUCCAGCGGGAUCAGAGCAUACAACAAUAUUGUAAUAAAGCUGGGGAGAUAAUAGUUUGAGAUUUUCUUCCUCCAUGCCUACUAUUUAAAACCCCUAGAACUCAAUGAUUUGACAAUGAUUUGAUUGCGCGUUACUUACAAUUUGAAUAUUCAGAAGCAACGCUCUCAAAUCAACUUUUCAAUAAAAAUAACUAUCCAAGGACUUUGUAAAAGCCCCACUUUAAUGUAAUAUAGCUGUGUUUUAUGCUUUGGUGAGAAAAAAACACACUUUAAUCAAUUUUAUGCUCCUUUUGGCAUAUCAGAGCAUCACAGCCCUUAUUACACACACCAGCUGUAGAUGACGCUUUCUGCACACAUUUAAAGGUGAAUUUCACCCCAAAUCUUACCUCACAUAUCCACUGAUGGACCACACGCACAAGAAAUGUGUGAAAUGUUCAUUUUUAAAGGUUUUAUGGGAAAGAAAAACGCACAAAAGCAGGAUAGAAGGGGGCGGGGCAAAAGGCAACAGCCAUCUUUGCCAUCGCAGGCCUUGAGCUGCUGCAGCAAGUGGCUCCAGAGUUCUGAGCUGCUCUGCUGACAAAAUACAUCGUUCAAGAAAAUCUUAAAUUUGUGUUUGUUUUUUUACAUUUUUUUCUUGCGGAGGAACUGAAGCCUGUUAACAAACCAUCUCUUUGAUUGCAUAUUAAGAAAUGUAUAACAAAGUUGAUCCAAUAAAAUCACAAAAGCAUAGUAAAUACAUGUAAAAAUAUUGUUGACAUAUUGUUCAUUAAAUAACUGUUGAUGUGGUUAACAUUUAGAACGUGUUGUUUGCAUUUGUAUUUAAUAAAAUAGCACAUCUUAUUA